rnacentral:rRNA from 1 species
UACGAAGGGGGCUAGCGUUGCUCGGAAUUACUGGGCGUAAAGCGCACGUAGGCGGCUUGUUAAGUCAGGGGUGAAAUCCUGGAGCUCAACUCCAGAACUGCCUUUGAUACUGGCGAGCUUGAGUUCGGGAGAGGUGAGUGGAACUGCGAGUGUAGAGGUGAAAUUCGUAGAUAUUCGCAAGAACACCAGUGGCGAAGGCGGCUCACUGGCCCGAUACUGACGCUGAGGAGCGAAAGCGUGGGGAGCGAACAGG